rnacentral:rRNA from 1 species
GUAGUCCUAGCCCUAAACGGUGCGCAUUUGCUGUAGGAGGAAUCGACCCCUUCUGUGGCGAAGCUAACGCGAUAAAUGCGCCGCCUGAGGAGUACGGUCGCAAGAUUAAAACUCAAAGAAAUUGACGGGGGCCUGCACAAGCGGUGGAGUAUGUGGCUUAAUUCGAUGCAACGCGAAAAACCUUACCUACCCUUGACAUGCCAGGAAUCCUGCAGAGAUGUGGGAGUGCUCGAAAGAGAGCCUGGACACAGGUGCUGCAUGGCCGUCGUCAGCUCGUGUCGUGAGAUGUUGGGUUAAGUCCCGCAACGAGCGCAACCCUUGUCAUUAGUUGCUACGAAAGGGCACUCUAAUGAGACUGCCGGUGACAAACCGGAGGAAGGUGGGGAUGACGUCAGGUCCUCAUGGCCCUUAUGGGUAGGGCUACACACGUCAUACAAUGGCCGGUACAGAGGGUUGCCAACCCGCGAGGGGGAGCCAAUCCCAGAAAACCGGUCGUAGUCCGGAUCGCAGUCUGCAACUCGACUGCGUGAAGUCGGAAUCGCUAGUAAUCGCGGAUCAGCAUGUCGCGGUGAAUA